rnacentral:lncRNA from 1 species
CUGAUACCACAUGUAAAACAUGAUUUUACAUGAACCCUAAGAUCUUUAACAUCUAGACUAAUCACAUAAUAGAAUUAUAAGAAAGUUUUUCGGAAUACCUCGAUUCAUGACUGCAGAAAUUUUCUUGAACGGUUAUGAUCAUGGAAGAUCAUUUCAUGAACUUUAAGUUGGAGUUAACCCUUCUCUCCCCAAGAUGAUCUCUUGAUCUUUUAGUUGGAGUUAGAUCUUCUCUCCCCUUG